rnacentral:lncRNA from 1 species
CCCGAACCAGCGACAACACGCUCCACGGGUCUAAACAUAGAAACCCAUAUUAAGCAUCAAUUCUGCCCAAAACAGCAGCAGCAGAAAGAAAUAGGGAUACGACCUAGCAAACCUUCACCAAAUCCAGCAAAUAAGGACUUCUGGAUUCCUCUUGAAGUCCUGAAUCCAACGAACCAAGUCCCAUCGAAAUCCGACGUUCCUACGCCGAGUACGAGCCGAAACACUGACGGUCAACGCUAAAAAUUAAUAAAAUCAGCACGCGAGCUCAAAACCGUGCGUUCAAGUAAUCCAAGAAGGAAAGUUAGGUACCCACAUCGACAGCGAAUCCAGCGCCGGUGCGACGUCGAGGACGGCGAAAACGCACCCUCGCCCGGCCUCCACGCGACGCUACGGCCACAAACGUGUGCUCAAACGGCUCGGCGAUGCGACGUCGGCGACGAACGCUCCACCCAAGCUCCUCCUCCUCGUGUAUGGCUCCAGAGACAGAGAGGGAG